GCCACUUAAAAUCAGCAGAAAUGGAAUCAAAUAGUAGGAAAUAAGUAGCCAACAGCUGAAGUUAGUUUCUGGAAAUGCACCUUUCCAUCAAGUGCCCAGACAGAACGAAAAUAGUCCACUAGAGAUUCUUGAAUUCCCAAUUUCUGAACAAAUAGGAGCAUACUGUCAUUGACGCAAUGUGCUUUAAUCUGAUGGGGGAAUGCAUUUAAAAAAUUCAAGAAGUAAGAUAGAAAAAGGAAAGAAAACAAGAAAAAAAGUGUUUUGCUUGAUCAAGGACAGAUCAGUGAUAUAACAGAACUUUUAAGCAGCCUUACAAGUGCAAGAUAUAAAUACGAAGAUCAAGCAAACGAAGAGACAUGGGAAUGAAAAAUAUUCAACGAAUCUCUCGGUUUCCUGUA